rnacentral:tRNA from 1 species
UCCUGGUUAGUUCCAUUGGUAGAGUGCUCCACUGGAAAUGGAGAAGUCCAAGGUUCGAUACCAGGACCAGGCA